UGGGGAAUAUUGCACAAUGGGCGCAAGCCUGAUGCAGCGACGCCGCGUGGGGGAUGACGGCCUUCGGGUUGUAAACCUCUUUCGCCAGGGACGAAGCGUAAGUGACGGUACCUGGAGAAGAAGCACCGGCCAACUACGUGCCAGCAGCCGCGGUAAUACGUAGGGUGCGAGCGUUGUCCGGAAUUACUGGGCGUAAAGAGCUCGUAGGCGGUUUGUCGCGUCGUCUGUGAAAUUCUGCAACUCAAUUGUAGGCGUGCAGGCGAUACGGGCAGACUUGAGUACUACAGGGGAGACUGGAAUUCCUGGUGUAGCGGUGAAAUGCGCAGAUAUCAGGAGGAACACCGGUGGCGAAGGCGGGUCUCUGGGUAGUAACUGACGCUGAGGAGCGAAAGCGUGGGUAGCGAACA
rnacentral:rRNA from 1 species